GCAGACACAGCAAAGCGCUCAGGCCCAGCGUCCCCCAGUGAGCCCCUCCCUGCUCCCUGUCUGUGACUGGGAGACCCAGGCAGGCCUCCUGUCGGCGACAGGAGCAGAGUCAGCCCCUCCUGCCGGUCUCCCUGCACAAUGUUUGAGCCCUCUGCCAGGGUUCAAACCCUUGGACCCAGGAGCCUCCAGUGGCGACACUGACAGACCAUGGGUGGGGCUCACUGCCUCUGCACACGCUGGCCCCGGGUUUGCCUUUCAGUCGGGGCCCAGCUGGCGAGCCCUGGCAGCUCCUGGAC